rnacentral:rRNA from 1 species
AGAUGGCGACCGGCGCACGGGUGAGUAACACGUAUCCAACCUGCCGAUAACUCGGGGAUAGCCUUUCGAAAGAAAGAUUAAUACCCGAUGGUAUAAUCAGACCGCAUGGUUUGAUUAUUAAAGAAUUUCGGUUAUCGAUGGGGAUGCGUUCCAUUAGGCAGUUGGUGAGGUAACGGCUCACCAAACCUUCGAUGGAUAGGGGUUCUGAGAGGAAGGUCCCCUACAUUGGAACUGAGACACGGUCCAA